UCAAAGAUUUAUCGCUUGAAGAUGGACUCGCGUCCGAUUAGUUAGUUGGUGAGGUAACGGCUCACCAAGACGCCGAUCGGUAGCCGUACUGAGAGGUUGAACGGCCACAUUGGGACUGAGACACGGCCCAGACUCCUACGGGAGGCAGCAGUGGGGGAUAUUGCGCAAUGGGGGCAACCCUGACGCAGCAACGCCGCGUGAAGGAUGAAGGUUUUCGGAUUGUAAACUUCUUUUAUUAAGGACGAAAAAUGACGGUACUUAAUGAAUAAGCUCCGGCUAACUACGUGCCAGCAGCCGCGGUAAUACGUAGGGAGCAAGCGUUGUCCGGAUUUACUGGGUGUAAAGGGUGCGUAGGCGGCUUUGCAAGUCAGAUGUGAAAUCUAUGGGCUCAACCCAUAAACUGCAUUUGAAACUGUAGAGCUUGAGUGAAGUAGAGGCAGGCGGAAUUCCCCGUGUAGCGGUGAAAUGCGUAGAGAUGGGGAGGAACACCAGUGGCGAAGGCGGCCUGCUGGGCUUUAACUGACGCUGAGGCACGAAAGCGUGGGUAGCAAACAGGAUUAGAUACCCUGGUAGUCCACGCUGUAAACGAUGAUUACUAGGUGUGGGGGGUCUGACCCCUUCCGUGCC
rnacentral:rRNA from 1 species